UACAGAGGUGGCAAGCGUUGUUCGGAAUUACUGGGCGUAAAGGGCGCGUAGGCGGCUUAACAAGUCACUUGUGAAAUCUCCAGGCUUAACUCGGAACGGCCAAGUGAAACUGUCAAGCUAGAGUGCAGAAGGGGCAAUCGGAAUUCUUGGUGUAGCGGUGAAAUGCGUAGAUAUCGUAAGGAAGACCAGCGGCGAAGGCGAGUUCCUGGACAGUUACUGACGCUGAGGCACGAAGGCCGAGGGCAGGCAAACAGGG
rnacentral:rRNA from 1 species